AGUGGGUGUAAUGUACCUACUAGCCGACGACGGAUACGGGUUGUGGGAGCAAGAGCCCGGAGAUGGAUUCUGAGACAUGAAUCCAGGCCCUACGGGGCGCAGCAGGCGCGAAAACUUUACAAUGCGGGAAACCGCGAUAAGGGGACACUGAGUGCCAGCAUACAAUGUUGGCUGUCCGCAUGUAUAAAUAGCAUGUGUUAGCAAGGGCCGGGCAAGACCAGUGCCAGCCGCCGCGGUAACACCGGCGGCCCGAGUGGUGGCCACUAUUAUUGGGUCUAAAGGGUCCGUAGCCGGUUUGAUCAGUCUUCCGGGAAAUCUGACAGCUCAACUGUUAGGCUUCCGGGGGAUACUGUCAGACUUGGGACCGGGAGAGGUAAGAGGUACUACAGGGGUAGGAGUGAAAUCUUGUAAUCCUUGUGGGACCACCAGUGGCGAAGGCGUCUUACCAGAACGGGUCCGACGGUGAGGGACGAAAGCUGGGGGCACGAACCGGAUUAGAU
rnacentral:rRNA from 1 species